UGGACGAAAGUCUGACCGAGCGACGCCGCGUGUGGGAUGAAGGUCUUCGGAUUGUAAACCACUGUCGAGGGGGAUUAAGGGAAACUUGAAAGAACCCUGGAGGAAGGGGAGGCUAAGCUCGUGCCAGCAGCCGCGGUAAGACGAGCUCCCCAAACGUUAUUCGGUAUUACUGGGCUUAAAGAGUUCGUAGGCGGCGAAGUAGGUGAGGUGUGAAAGCCCUCGGCUCAACCGAGGAACUGCGCUUCAAACCACUUUGCUAGAGGGAGAUAGGGGUAAGCGGAACAGAUGGUGGAACGGUGAAAUGUAUUGAUAUCAUCUGGAACACCGGUGGCGAAAGCGGCUUACUGGGUCUUUUCUGACGCUGAGGAACGAAAGCUAGGGUAGCGAACGGGAUUAGAUACCCCGGUAGUCCUAGCCGUAAACGAUGAGCACUAGUCUGAGGGACUUUCACGGUUUCUCGGACGUAGCGAAAGUGUUAAGUGCUCCGCCUGGGGA
rnacentral:rRNA from 1 species